rnacentral:rRNA from 1 species
GAUGAACGCUGGCGGCGUGCCUAAUACAUGCAAGUCGAGCGAACGGACGAGAAGCUUGCUUCUCUGAUGUUAGCGGCGGACGGGUGAGUAACACGUGGAUAACCUACCUAUAAGACUGGGAUAACUUCGGGAAACCGUAGCUAAUACCGGAUAAUAUUUUGAACCGCAUGGUUCAAAAGUGAAAGACGGUCUUGCUGUCACUUAUAGAUGGAUCCGCGCUGCAUUAGCUAGUUGGUAAGGUAACGGCUUACCAAGGCAACGAUGCAUAGCCGACCUGAGAGGGCGAUCGGCCACACUGGAACUGAGACACGGUCCAGACUCCUACGGGAGGCAGCAGUAGGGAAUCUUCCGCAAUGGGCGAAAGCCUGACGGAGCGACGCCGCGUGAGUGAUGAAGGUCUUCGGAUCGUAAAACUCUGUUAUUAGGGAAGAACAUAUGUGUAAGUAACUGUGCACAUCUUGACGGUACCUAAUCAGAAAGCCACGGCUAACUACGUG